rnacentral:other from 12 species
CGUGCARCCUCCAGGACCCCCCCUCCCGGGAGAGCCAUAGUGGUCUGCGGAACCGGUGAGUACACCGGAAUUGCCAGGACGACCGGGUCCUUUCUUGGAUCAACCCGCUCAAUGCCUGGAGAUUUGGGMGUKCCCCCGCGAGACUGCUARCCGAGUAGUGUUGGGUCGCGAAAGGCCUUGUGGUACUGCCUGAUAGGGUGCUUGCGAGUGCCCCGGGAGGUCUCGUAGACCGUGCAUCAUGAGCACACUUCCUAAACCUCA